GACGAACGCUGGCGGCGUGCUUAACACAUGCAAGUCGAACGGAAAGGCUCCAGCUUGCUGGAGUACUCGAGUGGCGAACGGGUGAGUAACACGUGGGUAAUCUGCCCUGCACUCUGGGAUAAGCCUGGGAAACUGGGUCUAAUACUGGAUAUGACCUUUCUCCUUAUGGGGUUUGGUGGAAAGUUUUUCGGUGUAGGAUGAGCCCGCGGCCUAUCAGCUUGUUGGUGGGGUGAUGGCCUACCAAGGCGGCGACGGGUAGCCGGCCUGAGAGGGUGAUCGGCCACAUUGGGACUGAGAUACGGCCCAGACUCCUACGGGAGGCAGCAGUGGGGAAUAUUGCACAAUGGGCGGAAGCCUGAUGCAGCGACGCCGCGUGAGGGAUGACGGCCUUCGGGUUGUAAACCUCUUUCAGCAGGGACGAAGCGUAAGUGACGGUACCUGCAGAAGAAGCACCGGCUAACUAUGCG
rnacentral:rRNA from 1 species